UACAGAGGGUGCGAGCGUUAAUCGGAAUUACUGGGCGUAAAGCGCACGUAGGCGGCUUGGUAUGUCGGGGGUGAAAUCCCCGGGCUCAACCUGGGAACUGCAUCCGAAACUGCCUUGCUAGAGUAUGGGAGAGGGAAGUGGAAUUUCCGGUGUAGCGGUGAAAUGCGUAGAUAUCGGAAGGAACAUCAGUGGCGAAGGCGGCUCGCUGGGCCAUUCCUGACGCUGAGACGCGAAAGCUAGGGGAGCGAACAGG
rnacentral:rRNA from 1 species